GUGAAGUAGGAAUCGCUAGUAAUCGCAGGUCAGCAUACUGCGGUGAAUACGUUCCCGGGCCUUGUACACACGCCCCGUCACACCAUGGAAGUUGGCCAUGCCCGAAGUCGUUACUCCAACCCUUGUGGAGGAGGACGCCGAAGGUGGGGCUAAUGACUGGGGUGAAGUCGUAACAGGGUAGCCGUACCGGAAGGUGCGGCUGGAUCACCUCCUAACAGGGAGACAACAAAAUGUUUAAUAUUAUUAUUUUGUCACCUUAGGUCGAUCGGUAUCUCACGUUCUUAAUUUAUUAAGAAUUUCAUUUCCUAAGUUUUUCUAGGUCACACCCAUUAUUUUUCCUGGGCCAUUAGCUCAGGUGGUUAGAGCGCACCCCUGAUAAGGGUGAGGUCCCUGGUUCAAGUCCAGGAUGGCCCAUAUCUCUAUGUUGGGGGUAUAGCUCAGUUGGUAGAGCGCCUGCUUUGCAAGCAGGAUGUCAGCGGUUCGAGUCCGCUUACCUCCACUGAUUACCACCUCUUCCAUAACCGGUAUAAAGGAAAUGUUUUGAGUUGUGAUCAAAUUCUGGAAGAAUCUAGCUUCCUAAUGAAAUCAUUAAGAUGCUGGACUCAUUGAAUUAAAUUCAUUGUUUUCAGAGAACCUUGACAACUGCAUAGAUUAUUUUUAAAGACAAUAAGCAUCUUUAAUGAUGCAGAUUUAUUAUUUGUGCGAAUGCAUUAAUAACAAUUCUAUUAAGCUGAUGCUUCAAUUUUUGAAGUUAUUGGUCAAGCUACAAAGGGCUCACGGAGGAUACCUAGGCACACAGAGGCGAUGAAGGACGUGGUUACCUGCGAUAAGUCUCGGGGAGUUG
rnacentral:misc_RNA from 1 species